AUGGAGUUUGGGCUGAGCUGUGUUGUCCUUGUUGCUAUUUUACAAGGUGUCCAGUGUGAGGUGCAGCUGGUGGAGUCUGGGAGAGGCCUGAUGCAGCCAGGGGGGUCUCUGAGACUCUCUUGUGCAGCGUCUGGGUUCACCUUCAGUAGCUAUCCCAUGAGCUGGCUCCGCCAGGCUCCAGGGAAGGGGCUGGACAGGGUCUCAGUUAUUAGUAGUACUGGUGGUAGCACAUACUAUGCAGACUCUGUGAAGGGCCGAUUCACCAUCUCCAGAGACAACUCCAAGAACACGCUGUAUCUGCAAAUGAACUACCUGAGAACUGAGGACACGCCUGUGUAUUACGGUGUGAAAGCAAAAGCAUACAUUUCCUCCUUCUACCAAUUCCUCGCAAAUAUUGGGUCUUGGUCUACAAAUAUCAACGCUGCCUGCUUUGCUCACUUCUGGGUCCAUUCCUAUGUCCUUGGUAGCAAUGGGGAUUCCUCAAUGUCCACCCUUAAGGAAGGAGCCCUGAAGCUCACGGUGUUCGUGCAGACACUCAGUUGUGCACAGGAAAAAGGCAGGUCAGGCUACUGGCCAGGUCAGCAGUGCUAG